UGGGGAAUUGUUCACAAUGGGCGCAAGCCUGAUGACGCAACGCCGCGUGGGGGAUGAAGGUCUUCGGAUUGUAAACCCCUGUCGAAUGGGACGAAAGACUCGCGAGUUAAUACUUCGCGGGAGUGACGGUACCGUUAAAGGAAGCCACGGCUAACUCUGUGCCAGCAGCCGCGGUAAUACAGAGGUGGCAAGCGUUGUUCGGAAUUACUGGGCGUAAAGGGCGCGUAGGCGGCCUACUAAGUCAGACGUGAAAUCCCCCGGCUUAACCUGGGAACUGCGUCUGAUACUGGAAGGCUUGAGUAUGGGAGAGGGAUGUAGAAUUCCAGGUGUAGCGGUGAAAUGCGUAGAUAUCUGGAGGAAUACCGGUGGCGAAGGCGGCAUCCUGGACCAUUACUGACGCUGAGGCGCGAAAGCUAGGGGAGCAAACGGGAUUAGAUACCCCUGUAGUCCCUGAGCGGGCUGGCAAGGCGCAU
rnacentral:rRNA from 1 species